AACCUUAUGGACCUGCGGGCGUAUACCUGCGGAGGGAUCAUUACAUGGCGGAGGAGGUGGGCACCUAGUAACCCUGGGUGUGUUGCCUUCACGCUUUCUACCCUUGUCUAUUUGCACCUUUUGUCGUUCCCUCGGUGGGUCUUGAACCUGCCGACGGCAACUUUCAAAACCUUUUGCAGUAGUAUCUAAUUCUUCUGAUUCAAAUAUCAAAUCGUUACAACUUUCAACAACGGAUCUCAG
rnacentral:misc_RNA from 1 species